AAACACACGCACGCUUUCUCUCACAAACACACGCACGCUUUCUCUCAUACAAACACACGCUUUCUCUCAUACAAACACACGCACGCUUUCUCUCAUACAAACACACGCACGCUUUCUCUCAUACAACCACGCACACUUUUCUCUCAUACAACACACGCACACUUCUCUCACAACCACGCUUUCUCUCACGCAAACACACGCACGCUUCUCUCACACAAACACACGCACGCUUUCUCAUCAACACACACACGCUUUCUCUCACACAAACACACGCACGCUUUCUCUCAUACAAACACACGCACGCUUUCUCUCAUACAAACACACGCACGCUUUCUCUCAUACAAACACACGCCACGCUUUCUCUCAUACAAACACACACAACUUCUCCACACAAACACACGCACGCUUCUCUCCAUACAAACACACGCACGCUUUCUCUCAUACAAACACACGCACACUUCUCUCAUACACACACUUUCUCUCACACAAACACAGCAACGCGUUUCUCUUACACAAAACACACGCACGCUUUCUCUCAUACAAACACACACACACUUUCUCUCACAAACACACUUUCUCUCAUACAAACACACGCACGCUUUCUCUCACUCACACAACACCGCACGCUUUCUCUCAUACAACACACGCACGCUUCUCUCAUACACACACUUCUCUCAUACAAACACACGCACGUUUCCCUCAUACAAAACACACGCACGCUUCUCUCAUACACACACUUUCUCUCACACAAACACACGCACGCUUUCUCUCACACAAACACACGCACGCUUUCUCUCAUACAAACACACGCACGCUUUCUCUCAUCAACACACACGCUUUCCUCAUACAAACGCUUCUCUCACACAAAACACACGCUUCUCUCAUACA
rnacentral:lncRNA from 1 species